rnacentral:rRNA from 1 species
CCUAACACAUGCAAGUCGAGCGGCAGCAUGCUUAGUAGCAAUACUAAGUGAUGGCGAGCGGCGGACGGGUGAGGAACACGUAGGAACCUGCCCAAGAGAGGGGGACAACCAAUGGAAACGUUGGCUAAUACCGCAUAAUCUCUUAGGAGAAAAGUUGCCCGUAAGGGUAGCGCUUUUGGAGGGGCCUGCGUCCGAUUAGCUAGUUGGUGAGGUAAUGGCUCACCAAGGCUGUGAUCGGUAACUGGUCUGAGAGGACGACCAGUCACACUGGGACUGAGACACGGCCCAGACUCCUACGGGAGGCAGCAGUGGGGAAUCUUGGACAAUGGGGGCAACCCUGAUCCAGCGAUGCCGCGUGGGUGAAGAAGGCCUUCGGGUUGUAAAGCACUUUCAGCGAGGAGGAAGGGUGGUGUGUUAAUAGCACAUCAUUUUGACGUUACUCGCAGAAGAAGCACCGGCAAACUCUGUGCCAGCAGCCGCGGUAAUAC